AUGUAUCCCAGAACUUAAAAGUAAAACAAAAACAAAAACAAAAACAACACAACACAAAACAACACAACGCAACUCUGGUCAGAAUACAAAGAGCAACUCAGAAAAAUAAACAAUGAUAGGUGGACUGGGAACUAGUCAACUUGAUUAAUAAUCUGAAAUGGAGAUGAAUUUUAGUUCCAUUUUUACCUCCUUUGUCUCCUGGUUUUGAUUUGGGGGUAAAACAUUGAUCUGUUUAGUAGGCAUAGGAAGCAAAACUUCUGGAAGAAAGCUCCUACUACUAGUCUGGUAAAGUCCCUGUAGGAUAGGGUGUUUACAGGAAAAUCCUUGGUUGUUUUGUCCCCCACUCUUUUCUCUCUUCUGUUCCUGGCCAAAAGGUAGCCCCAGCUGUGGAGUGGCACUGUCAGGGUGAGUGGCACAAGCACCUAAAACUCCAAGACAAGACCUGCUUCUCCAACAGAGGAACUGGGAAAGGGAGACUGCUGUCUGAAGAGUGUGGAUACAUGGAAGCCAUUUGCAGCAAAGAUUGAACCAACCAACAUUUAAAAUAAAAUCUGAGAACAAGGCCAUUUCAAAAAUAAGAUACAAAACCAGAUGAAAGGCCAGUAUGGCUCUGAGAAGAGACCAGGAGAAAAAGAAAACACUCGGCACUAAGAAUCAUUCUUGUGCCAAAUUAUGAAGACAGGAAAGCUAUAUAAGGAAAAUCCAUGAGCUUGGAGUUAAUGUUUAGUAUAACAAAAGUACAUUCAAUACACAUCAACCAAAAUAGCUACAAAAAUGGCUCUUUGGAAAAUAAAAAGCAAAAUUGCAAAAAAAAAGUUCUACAAAGUUCACUUUUUCCAGUGUGUAGAGUCUUAUGAAGCCCUCAAGAUGGCAAACAGAUUAAUAUAAAGUGGUCACUGAUUGCCUGGCCAUUUAUUCUUUCUGACCCUGAAAUUUCACAGCGAAUCUUAACAUUCUGAAAGAACAGAGGAACUGCUGUUCUUUAGUUUGGGAAGACCUUAUUCAGCUUAAGAUUGAUCAGCAACUUUCACUACACCCUUCCUAAACCACCCCCAACCUCCGUAUCACUUUUCUACUGUUAGUUUAGUAAAAGUUCAUUGACCUUAAAUGAACUCCCAGAAAACUUUUAAACUGGAUUUUAAAAGUUUUUGCCAAGUGCUUUUCUCAUCAUUCAGAAAAUGAUCGUCUAUUUUACUACUGUUUUGUGUUCACUGGAUUGUCAAUACUGUGACAUAUUUUGCAUUCAUUAUUUCUACCUGCCUAACAGAGUAGAUUCCAGAUACCUCCUUUUCAGCUUUCCCUUAUCCCUCUAUCAUGCAAUACACUUGGUGGAAAGGGAUUAUAAAAGAGAUGCAGCCUUCACCAUUUCAAUAAUCAAGUCAUGUCAAGAUGCCUUAGGGAGGGUGCAUUCUAAAUUCUAAAAAUUCUUACCUUUAUUGCCAAAAACUUGUGCCAAAUAAUUUCCUUUAACAUGUUCUUAAUACUUUAUCUGGAACUGAACUUGAGACCCAAGCAAAAUUUAAUCUAAAUUGUAUGAUGAAACACCAAGUUUGACAGAGUCUGACAACAAUCCUGCUAAAGGGGGUAGAACAUUAGCUAACCAUCUGAGGAGAUGACAUGUGAAAAGAACAUUCUAGCAAAGCAGACACCAACACAUAGGUCCUAAGGUAGGAAGGAGCCUGAUAUGUUUAAAGAAUUUAAAGAACAGGUGUAGGCCAGUAGCAGGAUCAAUGGUAAGAGAUGGUGGAAAGGACCAGAACAUGUAGGGCCUUCCUUGUAACCACAGUAAGCAGUGACCAGAUUUUAUCUGAUACACAUGGAAAUACCCUCACCUCUUGAAACAUUUAACACUAUUUUCCUAGUAUUCUCCUAGUUUUCCUUCUAAAUACUGCUCUGACCUCUAUUUCUGCCUCCUUUUGCAUGCCACUUUAGCUGUUCAUUAAGCAGUAGCAUUCCUCCAAAGUUACUCCUAGAACCUCUAACUUUUCUCAUGAUACUUUUCCUUAUAUGAUCUCUCUUGGCCAAUGAUUUCAGUUAACCACUUACUUGCAUACACAUAUUUAUACCUUCUAACCAGCCCUCCUCUCUAAGUUCCAAAAGUAUAUAUCCAUCUGCUUAUUUGGUCCUUUCACUUGUCACAAACUGAUCUCAUGCCUCCCCCCAGCUUCCACUUUGAUUUCAGUCACCUCCCAACCUUCCUAGGCCAAUCUUCUCAAUAUGCUCUUUUUUUUUUCUGUUGGUUUGGUGAAAAAACCAAUAUGCUCUUUAAUAAUAGCAUGUACUACUUACUGUUCACAGCACCUUUCAAAAUAAAACAUUUACAUCAAUUGAUGUGAUUAUUUAACAUCCAUCUCCAUUAGACUGGAAAUUUCAUGAGUGACUCUCUCUCUCUCUCUCUCUAUAUAUAUAUAUUUUGGUUCAUUAUGGCAUCCUCAUCCUCAGUCUUAAUCCAAUGCCCAACAUGUACUAGUCAAUAUUUGUCAAAUAAGUAAUUCAUUUUCUAUAAAAUAUGCUGAUCCCCAAAUUGCAUUUUUUAAGAGAUGGGGUCUCCUAUGUUGCCCAGACUGGACUCCUGGGAUCAAGUGACCUCCUGCCUCAGGCUCCCAAGAAAGUGGAACUACACAUGCACACUAUGGCACCCAGCUUCCCAAAUGAAUAUUUGCAACAGCACUGGGAUGGGAUUAAGGGUAGAAGAGGAAGGUAAAUAGAAUAUCAAUUACUCAACAGAAAAUACUGCUGUUCUGUGAAAUUAUUGUUCACAAAAGGCACUAGACAAUAACAGCAUCAGUUUUUUAAAACUGUCACAUAUUUUUGCUCUGUCAACAAGAAAAUCCUUGAAAAGGACUAGAGAGGGUAAGCUGCUCUAAUUAGAAAAAUUUUUAAAUUAACUGUAAUAUUACUACAAGAAAAUAAUUAUCCUCGUCUAUUCUAUGUAAACACAGCAGUACAUGAUUCUUUGGCUCCUGCCUGAGUGAAAUGCCACUUCAUUCCUGCCACAGUGGACUCUUCAGGACUGACUGACUGGAUAUGGGGUCUUAGAAAAUAACAUUAUUCUAAAAGGUCACAAAUCCGUUCUUUCUAAUUGAGUAUUUAUCCUUAUGUCUCAAUAAGACACCUUUCAAAAACAGGUAUAUAAUUAUACAAAAAACCUUUCAAAAACAGGUAUAUAAUUCUAUCAACUGCACUUACUCGUGUUGAGAUUACCCCUCUUAUAUUUCUCAUAUUUAGAGGUCCUUGCUCUGAGGACCACUAAAGAGAACAACAUGUCAGUACUUUACUUCAGUCACAUGUACUACAUAGCAUUUAAGUGUCAUUCAAGUCUACAAAUAUUUCAAAGGUUCCCUUUUCUUAGGCCUGAUACUACGAGGUAGAGAAGUCAUUAUGGCAUUGAAUUAUCAACAAUUUCCUGGACUCCAGUCCUGUCCAGAUGACUCACUUUUUUAAGGUUACAGUACUGAUUAAGAACAUGUAGUCUAAAGACCUCAGUUGAAAUCAUGGCUCCUCCACUUAGGAACAAACUAAGUUCUUAAUUUCUGUAAGACUCAAUUUCCCCAUGCAAAAAUGAGGGUGAGUAUAUAAAUGUCAUGGAGGUUAUUAUAAAGAUGAAAUGAAAUAAAAUACAUCAAAAGGUUAACCUAAUACCAACUAUAUGGUAAGAGAACAAAUGGAUCAAAGUUACUUUUUGUCUCCUUCCUUUCCAUUGGGAUACAGUUGGCAUUUGCUUAAUUUUUUUUUUUUUGAGACAGGGUCUUGCUGUAUCACCCAGGCUGGAGUGCAGGGG